rnacentral:misc_RNA from 1 species
GAAAUGCGAUAAGUAGUGUGAAUUGCAGAAUUCAGUGAAUCAUCGAAUCUUUGAACGCAAAUUGCGCCCUUUGGUAUUCCUUAGGGCAUGCCUGUUCGAGCGUCAUCUAAACCUUCAAGCCCUGCUUGGUGUUGGGUGCCUGUCCCGCCUCCGCGCGCGGACUCACCUCAAAUCCAUUGGCGGCCCCCGCGUCGGCCACGAGCGCAGCAGAAACGCGAACUCGUGAGCCCGUCCGGGCGGCUCCCAGAAGCUACACCCACCCAGUUUGACCUCGGAUCAGGUAGGGAUACCCGCUGAACUUAAGC